rnacentral:piRNA from 1 species
UACAAGGACAACCCCUUUUCCUUGGGAGA